rnacentral:misc_RNA from 1 species
CAUGAACUUGAUAAUGAGGCCCUUGCAUUCAAGCCAGUUCUUGGUCCCAUGCUUGCACGAGUGUAUCACAAUCCUCAAAAUAAGGAUGGAAAUCAGCCACGGUUACAGAAAAUUCUGCAGUUCUGGGCUUCCAAGGAAGUUUAUGAUCAAGAAAAUAUUUAUGUACUUAAAGUUGAGAUGGUGGGUGGACUACCAGCAAAUUCUUUUCCUGGGCCUCCAAAAGAAUUAACUAAUGCUUCAGCGGAUUCCUUGGCUGCUACAGGCUUUACAUAUGAACCAACAAACUAUAAUGCUCCACAAUGGCAGCCUGAUAGGCAAAGUGUAGCAGAACAGGAUCAUCAUGAUAAACAAGUGGCCUUAGCUAUUCCACAAUCCCUAGGAAACCAACAAUUUAUGCCAAAUUCAGUCCCUGCUGGAACUUUUCCAGGGUCCUUGCCAGUAAAUUCUUCCGUUCAACCAGCCAAUCAACAGCCUGCACCACAUUUGCAGACACCUCCUGCUAAUGCUGGUAAAAAGUUACCGCCAUAUCCAUUGUUCCCGCCUGGUCUUAUUCCUGGCAUGGUUAAAAAGAUGCAGAUUGGCAGCGGGGUUCCCUACUCUCCUUUGAGUCCUUUGGACAUCCCAACAGUUAUACCCCCAUCUAGCGUAUCCCCAUCAGAAAUUUUAGAGAGAGUGUCAAAAUUCUUUAAAGAGAUUGGAGAGAUUAACCCAUUUGAGGGAGUUAUAAAGUCUCAUUCGAAAGAUGAGGAGGAUGAGCAUGAGAGAGAUACUCCCAUUCGUAAAGGAGGAGCUUGCAUCCCUCCACCCCCUAACUUACAUGUUGACCCAGAGACUGGGGCUUACGCUGAUGGGAGUGUGGAGCGGAAACCAGGAUCUACGGGCACGGGAAGGUUGGGGCUUGGGGCAGUGGCUGACCCUAAUGAGGCAAGUCAAUACGAUGAUGUUUACAAAUCUUAUAGGAAACAACGAAGCACUAACUACCAUUCAUCCAUGAGUGCAAGAGCUGCUACGAGGUAAAAUCUCUUGCCAUGUUCUCACCAUUUAGUUGUCAAGUGGAAAAAUGCAGCACCAAAACAACUGCUUUUCGCCCAGCUUUGAUUGAACUUUUUCUGGACUCUGUAAAUGACAACUUGGAUAUGUAGCAGUAAACUUGGAUAUCAUGCGAGUUGAACUUUUGAUUUAGGAUAACGCUAUUUGCGAGCAUUGGAGCAAGGGUGUUGUAAUCAUUUAAAACCAGACCCCCGGGUGGAAAGGUCAAGAUAAUUAGUGUAGGGUUCCUGGUCAUCAUUUUAUUUGUCAUGGACUUUCUAUCGCAGACAACCAAUGGAGCACCCAAAGACUUUUUAGAGCAAUCUUGCAAUUGCUUUUAUUUAAUUGUACUAAAUAGCUUUCAUAUCCAAACUAUUUAAUUUAAAAUGGC